AUCAAUCAAGGCUAUUUCAAUGGGUGUGUUGUUAUCGCUUAAAAGAGGCAUUCCGGUGUAGACUGGCAGGGCAAUCUUGUUUCUGAACUGUAGCUUUAAGCGUUUCACAACGGAAGUACUGCCCUUGUUUUCAGUGUCCCUGUUCAUCACUCACCUGAAAUUCAGCAGAAAACAGGCCAAUCAAUGGAUGCAACAUACAUAUGAAUCAUUCAAAACUUAGCUAUCUGACAUGAUUAUCGCUUAGCAUUCAGACAAUUUACACAUGAGAUGAAGAAUGGAGAGAUGAACACUAUAAACAGAUAGAGAACUUACAAGUUGACAAAUCAAAGGCCUAAAAUGUGGUACAAAAACAGGCCCGAUUAAACGCCGUAAUGUUCGGAUUACCGUCAGCUCCCCUGCUGCCCCCCUACAGUUCAAUCAAACCAUCAUUAUCAUUGUUGUCCAAGGCACAAGGCGCACUCAAGCUACAAAAAGGUGAGGUUUGGGCAUGAGUGCGCCUUGGGCCUCGGGCCCUCGGUAGUGCAAGGCGCUUAAAAAGCGAGGUUUUUUUUAGGCGAGGUGUAAUAAUAGUAUAAAAUUACAAUUUUUAUGAGCUUUAAACAUGUUUUAGGCUUCUUUAGGGCUAGUUUAGGUUGAUUCCAGGCUUGUUAUAAGCCUGUUCAAACCUGUUCAGACGAUUUUUGGAUUGAAUUUUGUCGGAAAUUGGCCCGAAAAAAGCCCCCGAGGGCCCUGAAAAUUGUGCUUUUGAAGUGAAGCAAAAAGGCCACGCUGGACAUGAAAAGCGGGCCUAGGCGUCCACCUGAGUGUAGAGGUGUACAAAACCCGGUUUGGGCCCAAACCAACUGGUCCAGUUUUUUUACCUUGGGCUCAAACCCGUUUAGCCCUAACCGGUUCGGGUUAUAAACCGAUUUAAGGGCUGAAAAACCCAAACCACUCAUAUCGAUUUGGAUCGUAUUCAAACCAGUUUGGAGCAAAAAAAAAACCGGCUUUUUAUAAUUGGGCCUAAAUCAGUUUGGGUU